UGGGUCGGGGCUCGGCGCGGGAAGGGGAUGCCUCUUACCCGGCCCCGGCCUCACCUGAUCGUAGACGUCCACUACGGAACUACAGCAGGUGUUCUGCCAGCAUUCGACUUGAAUGCCUUCCCUGACAGGGCGCUCACUCCACACAGCUCUGGCCUGAGACAGGCGUCGCACAGAACUCCCUGUCCUUCCAUUUCAUUGGAACUCGGGGGACACGGCAGCUGCUUUUGUGGGAGGGCUGAUCCGAGCCGCAGCGAGGGGUGGGCUGGGCACAUGGCACAGUGAGGCUCCUCCCGCCCCCAGAGCCCCAGCCUCAGAAGGAAUCUGCCAGGUGAUGGGGCUACCCCUCUGCGCAUUCCUGUGGUGGACCCCACUCCCUCAGAUGAUGCGGACGGGAAAGAUGCGCGGAGCCGAAGAGCGCCCUCUCUGGGGGUCUGGAUUGGAGCACCCAGCACCUGAGCUGGGCCAGCCAGAAGAUGCGAAGCUCAUGGUGACCUUGGCAGGCAGACAGGUGGCAUCAGGAUGGUCUGGGCCUGCAGGGCCACCCUGUCCCUUCAGGUGGCUUCAUGGAGAGCACCAAGAAGUGUGAUCUCAGCAUUCAUGUGUGACCUGACCCACAUCCUUCCUGGUGCCUGAGGAUGCGAGGAGGCUGCUAUGCUGGGGCUGAGCCCUGCCAGGCGUCCUGCUUGCAUCCCUGCAGCUGGGGCUGAGGCUGUCCUGCAGGGAGGGCUGGUGGGCCCUGAGGCAGAAUCCCACUGCCACUUCAGAAAGUAGAGAAGAAGCCAGGUGUGGUGGGGCCAGUGGCCAUCUGCCGGGACUUCAGGGAGACCAGACACACAGGAAGAGGCACUUUCUCCAGACACCUCCUUUAGGGGCAGGGCACAAGGCCUGGAACAAGGCUGCCUCUGACCAGAGCAACAGAGCCUGCUCUGAGGAUGGCAGAGCCUAGAGCAGGCAAGCUGUCAAGAUUCUGGGUUGAGGGUCACAGGACAGGAGGCUGGACUCCCGCUGAUAUGAUUUGGGUUUGUGUCCCCACCCAAAUCUCAUGUUCAAUUGUAAUCCCCAGUGUUGGAGGUUGGAGGCGAUUGGAUCAUGGGGGCGGAGUUCUCAUGAAUGGGUUAGCACCAUCCCCUCGGUGCUAUUCUCCUGUUAGUGAGUGAGUGAGUUCUGGAGGGAUCUGACUGUUUGAAAGUGUGGGGCACCUCCCCCUUCUCUCUCUUGCUCCUGCCAUGUGAGACACCUGCUCCAACUCUGCCUUCCACUAUGAGUGAAAGCUCCCUGAGGCCUUCCCAGAAGCAAAUGCUGCCAUGAUUCCUGUAAAGUUUGCAGAGCCAUGAUCUAAUUAAACCUCUUUUCUUUAUAAAUUA